rnacentral:rRNA from 1 species
UACGUAGGGGGCAAGCGUUGUCCGGAUUUAUUGGGCGUAAAGGGCGCGUAGGCGGCCCGCUAAGUCAGACGUGAAAUCCCUCGGCUCAACCGGGGAACUGCGUCUGAUACUGGCAGGCUUGAAUCCGGGAGAGGGAUGUGGAAUUCCAGGUGUAGCGGUGAAAUUCGUAGAUAUCGGGAGGAAUACCAGUGGCGAAGGCGGCGACCUGGGCCAAUACUGACGCUGAGACGCGAAAGCGUGGGGAGCGAACAGG